GGAGGAAAAGAAACACUAACAGGAUUCCCCUAGUAACGGCGAGUGAAGCGGGAACAGCUCAAAUUUGAAAUCUCACAGGGUUACCUGUGCGAAUUGUAGUUUAGAGAAGCGUUUUCGGGGGCGGCUUGGGUAUAAGUCCUUUGGAAAAAGGCAUCAUAGAGGGUGAGAAUCCCGUUUAUGACCCAAUGUUCGCUCCUAUGUGAUACGUUUUCCAAGAGUCAGGUAGUUUGGGAUUGCUGCCUAAAAUGGGUGGUAAAUACCAUCUAAAGCUAAAUAUUGGCGAGAGACCGAUAGCGAACAAGUACCGUGAGGGAAAGAUGAAAAGAACUUUGAAAAGAGAGUUAAACAGUACGUGAAAUUGCCAAAAGGGAAACGCUUGGAACCAGUAUUGCUUACAGAUAAUCAGCCGCACGUCCCGAAAGGGGUGCGUGUGGUGCACUUGUCUGUGGGCAGGUCAACAUCAGUUUGGCUUGGGGUAAAAAGCCGGAGGAAGGUAGCUUGGACUUCGGUCUGAGUGUUAUAGCCUCCGGUAAUGCCUUGGGCUGGACUGAGGUCUGCAGUGUUAUUUGGAUUCCCGGUCGCCUCUUGAAACUUCAGCCUGGACAGCUUGCUGACCAGGUGAGAGCGUAGGGAGCCCGGUCGGUUUUUCACACCAGCACUUGGGAUGUUGGCGAAAUGGUUCCAAACGACCCGUCUUGAAACACGGACCAAGGAGUCUAACAUAUAUGCGAGUAUUUGGGUGGCAAACCCUUAUGCGAAAUGAAAGUGAAUUUAGGUGGGAUCUUCGGUGCACCAUCGACCGGUCUGGAUUUUUUUGAUAGAUCUGAGUAAGAGCAUAUCUGUUGGGACCCGAAAGAUGGUGAACUAUGCCUGAAUAGGGUGAAGCCAGAGGAAACUCUGGUGGAGGCUCGUAGCGAUUCUGACGUGCAAAUCGAUCGUCAAAUUUGGGUAUAGGGGCGAAAGACUAAUCGAACCAUCUAGUAGCUGGUC
rnacentral:rRNA from 2 species